rnacentral:rRNA from 1 species
CCAAUAGCGUAUAUUAAAGUUGUUGCAGUUAAAAAGCUCGUAGUUGAAUUUCGGGAUCAAUUUAUUGGUCGUGCUAUUGUACGUACUGGUAUUAUUGAUUCCUACCUUCUGACGAACCACGAUGUCAUUAAUUUGGUGUCAUGGGGAAUCAAGACUGUUACUUUGAAAAAAUUAGAGUGUUUAAAGCAGGCUCACGCUUGAAUACAUUAGCAUGGAAUAACGAAAUAGGACGUUUGAUUCUAUUUUGUUGGUUUCUAGGAUCGACGUAAUGAUUAAUAGGGAUAGUUGGGGGCAUUAGUAUUCAAUUGUCAGAGGUGAAAUUCUUGGAUUUAUUGAAGACUAACUACUGCGAAAGCAUUUGCCAAGGAUGUUUUCAUUAAUCAAGAACGAAAGUUAGGGGAUCGAAGACGAUCAGAUACCGUCGUAGUCUUAACCAUAAACUAUGCCGACUAGGGAUCGGAUGAUGUUAAUUUUUUAAUGACUCAUUCGGCGCCUUACG